ACCCUGUUGAGCUUGACUCUAGUCCGACUUUGUGAGUUGACUUGAGAGGUGUAGCAUAAGUGGGAGAGGCAACUCGACGAUGAAAUACCACUACUCUCGACGUUAACUUACUUAUGUGUUUGCAUUGGUGGGCGUCUCGUAACGGGGCGUUGUUCUGGAGCAACUCGCCAUCUCUUACGAUGGUGACAACCAACGACACUGACACAGUCAGGUGGGGAGUUUGGCUGGGGCGACACGUCUGUUAAAAAAUAAC
rnacentral:rRNA from 14 species